rnacentral:lncRNA from 1 species
CGGCAAACAUUUGCAUUACUUUAUAUAUUACUCUGUAGCUGGCUACAAAAUAACUUAUUUUAUAGCCACUUUGAGUUACGAUAAUUACUAUAUUAAUUUACAAGAUUAUAGUAACUCCUUAUUAAGUGGUUUACUAUAACAUUACGGUAAAUAUUCCCAUGUGUUAUAGUAACCCAACUAUCGUAAAUAUAUAUGCAUAUUAUCGUAAAUUAGUAUAUAAAAUUAUCGUAAAUGGAGAUGGCUACAAAAUAACAUAUUUUGUAGGCUAGCUACAGAGUAUAUCUGGCUGCCUGCAUGUUCUUGGAAAUGUGUAUGAAUAUCCAUGCUCCGUACACACUAGCUUCCUGGCAAUGAGCGACAUAACUAACUGCAUUAUACGCGUGUGGCAGCAAAUGGUGGAGUGGUGGUCCAAUCCAAGAUAUGUGAAGCUAGCAUCAUUCAGAGAUGCAUGCAUGUUCAGCUCUUGGCAUGCGGCUCCGGCUAGCAUCAUUCAGAGAUGCAUGCAUGAAUCAUGAAGCAUGCAUGUUCAUGCUCUUGGCAAUGCGUGCGUAGUGCGUACGUGUGUUGCGCUGGCGCUGUCCAUCUAUCCGCGAAGUCAAAACGAUGAUACGAAUAUGUCGAUUCUGUGCAAACGAAGGUGCAGGUGUGUUUUCUGAUUGACUGUUUUGCUUCCUGUUUGUGGUGUUGCAUCCUGCUAGCUAUCUCGUCAUAUGUUCAGCCGGCCGGAAUACAGGUGAGAUACAUGUCGGUUCUCAUAAGAAUUUUCCACAUGUUCCGUUCACGUGAAGAAGGUACCAUGGAUACAUUAGCGUGUUUGGUUGUCUG